GAGGGCAACCACAGCUGGGGCCUCAGACCAGGGCAAGUACAAGUGCCUGACCCACAGAUGCCACCAGCAGCCAGGAGAAGCUGAAGAGGAAGAGAGGCACUGACUGGGGUGAGAACCCCACCCGGUGACCAGGAUGGUCCUGGGACAGGUUCCUGUCAUCAUGCGAUCCGGAUCCUCCCAGAGUCUUUACGGAACUCACAUCAUCUGUUUGUCUACAUCCUGUCUUCCCCACCCAACAAAUGGAAUGCAAACCCAUAUGCUCCAGGACUUUAUGCAAAAGUAUUUAAUGAGUGAAGCUGGACAGUCUGCCUCAGGUUCACCAUCCAGAGUGUGGGCUUCCUGAGGACAGGUUCCUAGUGCUCUUCUCCCAGCCCAGCCCAGUACAGCUCAGGAAGGAGGAAACAGACCGCCCAGAAGCGUGUGGAUAUCUGUGUGUACAGUGCUUUCGGAUCCACGUGUACAAGCCUGUGUCUGCAUCUGAAUGUGUUUCCCAGCCCACUUGCAAAGCUCCUUGGAUGUCAGAGGUACAUCAUCUCCCAGCAGGACUUGACAGGUCAGACCCUGCCCCACAGUGAGGGGACCUACAACUUUUCCCAGGACGUGCCAGGAUGCUUGAGACCCUCAAAGAAGAUUUUCCCAGCAAACACCUGUGCCCCGAGGGCUCCCCACAAAGGGUCUGCCUGGUCCAGGAGGGCUCCCGUGUGUGUCUCCAGAUAAGGGAUGGUCCUCUGGGCACCCUCCAUUCAAGAGCCUCAUCUGCGCCAGCAGGCUGCUGACCCUGAAACCUGUGCACAUGUGAGUCCUUCUCCAGAAGAGCACGUGGCUACUGAGACCCAACCCUCCCAUUCCGAAAACAGAGUUCUCCUUGCUUCACGUGACCCACAGCCAGGGAGUGGCUUCCUGUCACAGCUCUGUGCCUAGGACUCUCCUAUGGGUCUGGAGGGCACAGUGAGGGACAGGGGUGUGGGGGAGGAGUCAAGGAAGAUAAAAGAGAAUACCGCAUUGUGUACGGGCCUGGAACUGGAGGCCUCAUGUGCUGAGGCUUGAGGGGUGGCCAGAGGCACUGAGAUGGCAUCAUUGAG